rnacentral:SRP_RNA from 1 species
GCCGGGCGCGGUGGCGCGCGCCUGUAGUCCCAGCUACUCGGGAGGCUGAGGCAGGAGGAUCGCUUGAGCCCAGGAGUUCUGGGCUGUAGUGCGCUAUGCCGAUCGGGUGUCCGCGCUAAGUUCGGCAUCAAUAUGGUGACCUCCCGGGAGCGGGGGACCACCAGGUUGCCUAAGGAGGGGUGAACCGGCCCAGGUCGGAAACGGAGCAGGUCAAAACUCCCGUGCUGAUCAGAAGGAUACUUAGAAUUAUUUUUUUUCAAACUAGUACUGUGCUUCACAUUAAAAA